rnacentral:rRNA from 1 species
GUGGGGAAUCUUGCACAAUGGGGGAAACCCUGAUGCAGCGACGCCGCGUGAACGAUGAAGCCCUUCGGGGUGUAAAGUUCUUUCGACAGGAACGAUAAUGACGGUACCUGGAGAAGAAGCUGCGGCUAACUACGUGCCAGCAGCCGCGGUAAUACGUAGGCAGCGAGCGUUGUUCGGAGUUACUGGGCGUAAAGAGUGCGUAGGCGGCGAGCCAAGUUUGGUGUGAAAUCUCCCGGCUUAACCGGGAGGGUGCGCCGAAAACUGGUUGGCUGGAGGAUGGGAGAGGAAAGCGGAAUUCCUGGUGUAGCGGUGAAAUGCGUAGAUAUCAGGAGGAACACCUGCGGUGUAGACAGCUUUCUGGACCGAAACUGACGCUGAGGCACGAAAGCGUGGGUAGCAAACA